rnacentral:piRNA from 1 species
UGAUAAUUGCUAAGCAGUCAAAAGAACACA